UAUUGAAGGCUACAAUGUCAUCCCGAGCAAUGUACUCCAAGCUUCUUGUCAUGCUCUGUAUGAUAUUGGUCUCUCUCGCCAUCAUCUUACAGGGCGCGUCCGCUGCAAGAGAUCUCACCCACACUGUGCAUGCUAGCCGUGGUCGUGGCUUAGGUGGCUACUACUGGUACGGUGGUCGCAAUAAUGGUAGGACCUAUGGUGGCACUCCAAGUCACAACAGUGGUGGCAAUAAUGGUAGGAUCCGUGGUCGCACUCCAGAUCACUACUAGAAAAACGAUCUUUCAUCCCAUAUAUUAGUAUCGGUCACAUUUUGACCCACGGGUCCAAAUUUGGAUGUCCUCGAAGUCCUUUUAGCAGUGGUACUGAAGGCCUUUUCUCCAGCUGUGGGUGCCCCAUUAUGAUGUCUUCAUCAUUGUAUCAUGCAUAUAUGCAUAUACUUUUUCAGUUCAAA